UACGUAGGGUGCGAGCGUUAAUCGGAAUUACUGGGCGUAAAGCGUGCGCAGGCGGUUUUGUAAGCCAGAUGUGAAAGCCCCGGGCUCAACCUGGGAAUUGCAUUUGAGACUGCGUAGCUAGGGUGCGGAAGAGGGAAGCGGAAUUUCCGGUGUAGCGGUGAAAUGCGUAGAUAUCGGAAGGAACACCAGUGGCGAAAGCGGCUUCCUGGUCCAGCACCGACGUUCAGGCACGAAAGCGUGGGGAGCAAGCAGG
rnacentral:rRNA from 1 species